UACGGAGGGGGCAAGCGUUGUUCGGAAUUACUGGGCGUAAAGGGCUCGUAGGCGGUCAACUAAGUCAGAUGUGAAAUCCCUCGGCUUAACCGGGGAACUGCGUCUGAUACUGGAUGGCUUGAGUUUGGGAGAGGGACGCGGAAUUCCAGGUGUAGCGGUGAAAUGCGUAGAUAUCUGGAGGAACACCGGUGGCGAAGGCGGCGUCCUGGACCAACACUGACACUGAGGAGCGAAAGCCAGGGGAGCAAACGGG
rnacentral:rRNA from 1 species